rnacentral:rRNA from 1 species
AUUGAACGCUGGCGGCAGGCCUAACACAUGCAAGUCGAGGGACCGGCGCACGUGUGAGUAACACGUAUCCAACCUGCCCUUUACUCGGGGAUAGCCUUUCGAAAGCAAGAUUAAUACCCUAUAUAAAGGAUGGGGAUGCGUUCCAUUAGGUUGUUGGUGAGGUAACGGCUAACCAAGCCUUCGAUGGAUAGGGGUUCUGAGAGGAAGGUCCCCCAGAUUGGAACUGAGACACGGUCCAAACUCCUACGGGAGGCAGCAGUGAGGAAUAUUGGUCAAUGGGCGCUAGCCUGAAACAGCCAAGUAGCGUGAAGGAUGAAGGCGUAUGGGUCGUAAAUUUCUUUUAUAUAAGAAUAUGUAUUAUAUGAAUAAGGAUCGGCUAACUCCGUGCCAGCAGCCGCGGUAAUAC